GAUGAACGCUGGCGGCGUGCCUAAUACAUGCAAGUCGAGCGAACAGACGAGGAGCUUGCUCCUCUGACGUUAGCGGCGGACGGGUGAGUAACACGUGGAUAACCUACCUAUAAGACUGGGAUAACUUCGGGAAACCGGAGCUAAUACCGGAUAAUAUAUUGAACCGCAUGGUUCAAUAGUGAAAGACGGUUUUGCUGUCACUUAUAGAUGGAUCCGCGCCGCAUUAGCUAGUUGGUAAGGUAACGGCUUACCAAGGCAACGAUGCGUAGCCGACCUGAGAGGGUGAUCGGCCACACUGGAACUGAGACACGGUCCAGACUCCUACGGGAGGCAGCAGUAGGGAAUAUUGCGCAAUGGGCGAAAGCCUGACGGAGCAAUGCCGCGUGAGUGAUGAAGGUCUUCGGAUCGUAAAACCCUGUUAUUAGGGAAGAACAAAUGUGUAAGUAACUAUGCACGUCUUGACGGUACCUAAUCAGAAAGCAACGGCUAACUACGUG
rnacentral:rRNA from 1 species